AUUGAACGCUGGCGGCAUGCCUUACACAUGCAAGUCGAGCGGCAGCGCGGGGGCAACCCUGGCGGCGAGCGGCGAACGGGUGAGUAAUACAUCGGAACGUGUCCAGUAGCGGGGGAUAACCUGUCGAAAGAUAGGCUAAUACCGCAUACGAUCUACGGAUGAAAGCGGGGGACCGCAAGGCCUCGCACUGUUGGAGCGGCCGAUGUCGGAUUAGCUAGUUGGCGGGGUAAAAGCCCACCAAGGCGACGAUCCGUAGCUGGUUUGAGAGGACGACCAGCAACACGGGAACCGAGAAACGGGCCAGACCCCUAAGGGAGGCAGAAGCGGGGAAUAUUGCACAAUGGGCGCAAGCCUGAUGCAGCCAUGCCGCGUGUAUGAAGAAGGCCUUCGGGUUGUAAAGUACUUUCAGCGGGGAGGAAGGCGACAGGGUUAAUAACCCUGUCGAUUGACGUUACCCGCAGAAGAAGCACCGGCUAACUACGUGCCAGCCGCCGCCGUAA
rnacentral:rRNA from 1 species